CCUACGGGAGGCUGCAGUGAGGAAUAUUGGUCAAUGGUCGCGAGACUGAACCAGCCAAGCAGCGUGAGGGAGGACUGCCCAACGGGUCGUAAACUUCUUUUGUCAGGGCAUAAAGUCUGGCACGUGUACCCUGUUGUGUGUACUUGAUGAAUAAGCAUCGGCUAACUCCGUGCCAGCAGCCGCGGUAAUACGGCGGAUGCGAGCGUUAUCCGGAUUUAUUGGGUUUAACGGGAGCGUAGAUGGGUUGUUAAGUCAGUUGUGAAAGUUUGCGGGUCAACCGUAAAAUUGCAAUUGAUACUGGCAGUAGUGAGUAGAGUUGAGGGAGGCGGAAUUCGUGGUGUAGCGGUGAAAUGCGUAGAUAUCACGAAGAACUCCGAGUGCGAAGGCAGCUUACUAAGCUGACACUGACAUUGAUGCGCGAAAGUGUGGGUAUCAAACAGGAGUAGAGACCCCAGUAGUC
rnacentral:rRNA from 1 species